GAUGAACGCUAGCGGCAGGCUUAACACAUGCAAGUCGAGGGGUAACAGGAGAGCUUGCUUUUGCUGACGACCGGCGCACGGGUGCGUAACGCGUAUAGAACCUACCUUUUACUGGAGGAUAGCCCAGAGAAAUUUGGAUUAAUACUCCAUAGUAUUAUUGAAUCGCAUGGUUUAGUAAUUAAAGAUUUAUUGGUAAAAGAUGGCUAUGCGUCUUAUUAGCUAGUUGGUAAGGUAACGGCUUACCAAGGCAACGAUAAGUAGGGGUCCUGAGAGGGAGAUCCCCCACACUGGUACUGAGACACGGACCAGACUCCUACGGGAGGCAGCAGUGAGGAAUAUUGGACAAUGGAGGCAACUCUGAUCCAGCCAUGCCGCGUGAAGGAUGACUGCCCUAUGGGUUGUAAACUUCUUUUAUAUGGGAAGAAUGUGUUCUACGUGUAGAAUUUUGACGGUACCAUACGAAUAAGGAUCGGCUAACUCCG
rnacentral:rRNA from 1 species